GACGAACGCUGGCGGCGUGCUUAACACAUGCAAGUCGAACGGAAAGGCCCUGCUUUUGUGGUGUGCUCGAGUGGCGAACGGGUGAGUAACACGUGAGUAACCUGCCCUUGACUUUGGGAUAACUUCAGGAAACUGGGGCUAAUACCGGAUAGGAGCUCCUGCUGCAUGGUGGGGGUUGGAAAGUUUCGGCGGUUGGGGAUGGACUCGCGGCUUAUCAGCUUGUUGGUGGGGUAGUGGCUUACCAAGGCUUUGACGGGUAGCCGGCCUGAGAGGGUGACCGGCCACAUUGGGACUGAGAUACGGCCCAGCUCCCCACGGGGGGCAGCAGGGGGGAAUAUUGCACAAGGGGCGGAACCCUGAGGCAGCAACGCCGCGUGGGGGAGGACGCCCUUGGGGUUGUAAACCGCUUUCGCCUGUGACGAAGCGUGAGUGACGGUAAUGGGUAAAAAAGCACCGGCUAACUACGU
rnacentral:rRNA from 1 species